CAGGACUUCGGAGGCGGAGAAAGGGUUAGAGCUGGACGCAACGACUUUUGCUGGUUGGAGUGCUUCUGAACCCCGCCCUUUCUGUCAGAGAAAGGGAUUUAUUUCAAUUCAUCGGCCUCAGAUUGGUAGGACUACCCGCUGAACUUAAGCAUAUCAAUAAGCGGAGGAAAAGAAACUAACAAGGAUUCCCCUAGUAACGGCGAGUGAAGAGGGAAGAGCCCAAGAUUGAAAGCUGGCGCCUUCGGCGUCCGCAUUGUAAUCUCAAGAAGCGUUUUCCGCUUCGGACCAUGCCUAAGUCCCUUGGAAAAGGGCAUCAUAGAGGGUGAUAAUCCCGUACAUGGCAUGGAGCGCCCGAAGCUUUGUGAUACGCUUUCUAAGAGUCGAGUUGUUUGGGAAUGCAGCUCAAAAUGGGUGGUAAAUGCCAUCUAAGGCUAAAUAUUGGGGAGAGACCGAUAGCGAACAAGUACAGUGAUGGAAAGAUGAAAAGAACUUUGAAAAGAGAGUUAAACAGUACGUGAAAUUGCCAAAAGGGAAGGGUAGGAGGUCAGAGAUGCGUCGCAGGAUUCAGCCUUGCUUUUGCUUGGUGUUUUUCCUGCGUUGCAGGCCAACGUCGGUUUUGGGCACUGGAGAAGGGUAGGAGGAACGUGGCACCUCUCGGGGUGUGUUAUAGCCUCCUACUGGAUACAGCGACCGAGACCGAGGAACGCAGCGUACUCGUAAGAGCGGGCCUUU
rnacentral:rRNA from 1 species